rnacentral:tRNA from 1 species
CAGCGUGUAGCUCAGUUAGUAGAGCCUCGGGCUGGUACCCGAUGGGCGCAGGGGCAGAACCUGCCACGCUGU